CUCCACCAUAGUUCGCAGCUUUCAGCCACCGGAGCAGAAACACGGUCAGAUCUCAGUAGCAGAGAUAAUGAAAAGUUUUGUUGGAUUAAGAAAACAUCCACCCGAGUAGGGUCCCCCGCCCGUCCUCCUCCUCUAACCAAAAAAACUGUGCUUGUGUUGAUAAGACAGGUUGAAAAAACACCUGAGACCACCUUCUGGAUGAUGGGUCUUGAAUGGCUGCUUUGAGGACGAUUCCUUUUCCUGCCAAGCACCAGUAAAGAGACUGAAGAAUGGAUUGCGUCACUUGCUUCUAUCAAUUGCACUUGAAUUUCAAAUCAGGCUCAGGAUCUCAAAUUAUGAAAGCUGGCAUCGUACAAACACCCUGAAUAAAAUGGA